rnacentral:rRNA from 1 species
AUGUUGAAUAGAGUUCUCCGCGAGGCCUUCGCGCGCCUGCCGGACCUACGGGAUCUCCUAAGCUGUGCGGCCACGUGCAAGCACUGGCGCCGCCUCAUCGCAGACCGGGACUUCCUCCGCCACAUCGGUCUAUGGCCGGAAACAGCGCGCCGCCCGAGCGUCCUCGCCGGGAUCUUCUCCCAGAACUCCACCGCCUGGGCCCAGCUCCCGAGAAAAAACGGCAACCUGUAUGCGCCACCGACGUUGCUGACCCUCCUAGCCGGUCUCACCAUGGAUGAUCCAACCUUCGACUCGUUCCGUCGUUCGUCACCACUGACGACGACGACAUGCUCUUCGACCUCGCGAGGCCCCUGGCGGCGCGCCGCGGUCUCCUUCUCGUGCGUGUCGUGGCACCUUCCUUGCUUCGAGACAACACUGCUGGUAUAA